CGGCAACAGCUCAAAUUUGAAAUCUGGCUCUCGGGCCCGAGUUGUAAUUUGUAGAGGAUGCUUUUGGUGCGGUGCCUUCCGAGUGCCCUGGAACGGGACGCCAUAGAGGGUGAGAGCCCCGUCUGGUUGGAUGCCAAUCCUCUGUAAAGCUCCUUCGAC
rnacentral:rRNA from 1 species